UUGAUUUUGAAUUCAAGCCCAUAUAAGUCGACAUUCUCUCGACGUUCAUUCAAGUGAAGCUCUCAAAAGUUAAGUUCUAAAAAAUAUUUUGAGCAAAUAAUUUUUGAAUUGUGAAAAGUUUACAAAGAAUAUUGCUUGAAUAAGAAUUUCUAAGAAUAAGUGCUAAUAAAUAGUGCUAAGAAUAAGAAAAGAUCUCGAGUCUUAACAAGGAAUUACUUAAUAUACCUGAUAUUUAAAAAGCACGGGGAGUACUAUAUAUAGAAGUGUUAGCUUCUAUCGUGUGAAGUUUAAAUAGCGUACGCUAUAGAGAUAAUAUCAUUAAUCAAGAUUACCUGAAGAAGAUUUUCAAGAAGCAUAACAGCAUUCACCAUUCUACAGUAACCGAAGAACAAGAAAUUUUUUACUGGAUUUGCAGAUCAAGUAUUCAAUAUAACAAAAAUAUCUGAAAAUAAUCAAAAAAUAUUGGCUUGAAUUGAAGAAUUCCCAGUGAACUCCAAAGAGGCACCUAGUCCUCCUGAAUAUAUUAGUGUACUUUAGAAGUUUUUUGUUGAAAAAGAGAUAGUCUAGUUUUAUUCGAACGAUUUCUAACCACAAGAUCUGCAUAAGAUUCAAGAUUAUCGAAGUCCUUUGCAGUGCUUGGAUAGAUUUCAGAAACUUAUCAAAAUGGCGAAAAAGUUAGAAACUAAAAUAGUUGGAAAGUCGGGAUAUAUAGUGAUAGUGAUUGUAAAGUAAGAUUGUACCUUUAGAACAAUAUCAAAAUUUUGGCAUCUCCCUGGAGAAUCGUUUGGUGAAGACACUCAAAGGCCCAUUCGGAACAAUGUUACCAUUUCUUGGAAUAUAAAGCCCUUUCUGGGCUGUACACACACUUCAAGAACUAAAUUCUUUGUAGAGCAUGUCUGUCUCAGUUUUAAAGUCUAAAAAUUUUAAUGUUAAACCUACAUAAUGUAACCGAAUCCAAGAAAUAAACCGUACGUGGGAAAGUGAA